UUCAUGGAGCUCCUCAAACAUCAUCACAUCAUCCCUAGGUGAUGUUAUAGAAAAUAGGUGCAGGAGUAGGCCAUUCGGCCCUUCGAGCCAGCACCGCCAUUCAAUGUGAUAAUGGCUGAUCAUCCAACUCAGUAUCCCGUACCUGCCUUCUCUCCAUACCCCCUGAUCCCUUUAGCCACAUCUAACUCCCUCUUAAAUAUAGCCAAUGAACUGGCCUCAAGUACUUUCUGUGGCAGAGAAUUCCCAUUCGACCCAUUCGGCCCUUCGAGCCAGCAGGGCCAUUCAAUAUGAUUAUGGCUCAUCAUCCACAAUCAGUACCCCGUUCCUGCCUUCUCAAGAGUCAAGUCAAGUGUUUUAUUGUCAUAUGUCCCAGAUGAAAUUCUUGUAUCCCCCAUAUUCCUUGGUUCCAUUAGCUCUAAGAGCUAAAUCUAACUCUCUCUUGAAAACAUUCCAGUGAAUUGGCCUCCACUGCCUUCACAGAUACACAACUCUCUGGGUGAAAAAGUUUUUCCUCAUCUCAGUCCUAAAUGUUAUGGAGAACAUUUUGUCGUUUUGAUGGAGAAGCAAUGGAAAGAUCUGGAAACAAGUCAAAAUUUAUGGACUAUAUGACAAUAAAAUUUAUUGUCAUAUCCAGAAGUAUGGCGAGAUAUAGGUGCAAUUAAAAUAAUAGAUGUAUCAUCAAUGUAUCUCUUCAAAAAUCACAAAAUUGACAGGCAGGAUAAUUGAACCUACAUCAGAGCUGUCACCCAAUACAAAUCCCCGUCAUCAAAGCUCUAUAGACACAAAAAAGUCAGUGGGUCAGACAGCAUCUCUGGAGAAAAGGAAUAGGUGACGUUUCGGGUCAAGUUUCAAACAGCAUCUGCAGUUCCUUCCUAUGCAAAGCUCUAAUUAUCUUCAGUUUACUUCAAUAGCUAGGGGAAGCCAUUUACCUUCCCAAGGCCAUACUCCCAAAACAGCAUAAAUGUUGCAUGUGUGAUGAUGUCAAAGUAUCUAAAUUCCUGAGCGAUGAUCUUCUUUCGUCUGGUGUGCACGCCUAAAGUUGUUGGACAACUCGUUCUAUUUGAUCUUCCGUUUGUGCACGUCGAGUUGAUUGCAUUAGUCGAAACAGGGCGGACCACGUGAAGGUUGCAGUCUUCCACCCCAGCGAUGAUGAUAGAGCAACUUUCAGGUUUAUUGCUGAAAGAUGUCCAUUAAGAGACAGGAGACUAUAGAGGCUGGUUGUCCAUAAGAUAGACACAAAGUGUUGAAGUAACUCAGCGGGUCUGGCAGCAUCCCUGGAGAACAUGAAUAGAUGACAUUUUGGUUCGGGACCCUUCCUCAGUCUGAAGUUCCAGAAGAACUCCUAUUCCAAAGAAGACAGAGUCAUCCAGCAUGAAACAGGCACACAACUCAUCCAUGUGAAACAGGUGCCGUCCUGAGUUAGUCAGGCUUGUCUACCUUUGUUACAGGUGCACAUUUGUCAGAGGUCUACGGUAGACAAAAAUGCUGGAGAGUCUCAGCGCGUGAGGCAGUAUCUAUGGAGCGAAGGAAAUAGGUGACGUUUCGGGUCGAGACCCUUCCUCACCCUUGUCAGAGGUCUAUAUCCCUCAUAAUCCUCCCCAUCUAUAAAUCUAUCGAAAUGACUUUUAAUGCUCCAUAAGGUCAUCCUCUGUAUCCUUCACUCCAGUAUUUAUAGACUCUCCAGAGGAAUGAGCUGCAAAAGUAUUAACCUUGAAAGACAUAAAUCCUUCAUAAAGCCACUGCGACAGAACUGUCUUAGAUUCUGAACUGCAGAUAUUCUGGAGAUUUGAUCAGACUGAUCAAAUUUGAGCUGACAUUUGGUUCUCAUUCUUCAAGCAUGUUACUGACUCAAAACUGUCUAGCAAUAUAAUACUACGUUAAAUUUAAUUCCUCUUAAAAUCCAGUGUAAUGUCUGGCGAUCAAGGAGAGCAGUACUUACGGGGAUAACGCAGCUGUGUCCUCAAUACCUGCAAAAACAAGGAAAAACAGUCUAAGGACUGGAAGACAUUAAACAUUGGAACACGAGUCAUUCAGCUCUGAAACCAACAUCCCACUUCAUAACUUUGCUGGCUCUUCCUUAAAUUCAAUGAUUCCUCCCCCGUGUCAAAUCACAAGGAAAUCCAUGAUGGCAAAAGCCCCAUGUAGAGGACAAUUUUUAUUGGAGCAAGUUUGAGGUCCUCGAUCUCCUGCUCCUUCUCAUACAUUCUCCUGGUGCACCAAUAUAAACGAGCACAACCCAGGGGCAGGCAAUUGGUCAGUAGAUCCCAACUAGAUCAUUAAUGUAGGUUUAGAGAUGCCAAUCUGCCGUACUUAUUCAGAGUUCCCUGUGUCUCCAAUCCCAGAACAAUGUGGUUAACUACCCUCUGGUAGUAGCUGAGUCUAUCAGUCACUUGCAGUGGUUUAAAGUCUGGCUGUGGCAGUCAAAGCUGCCACAACCAGACAUAAAAACACUUUUUAUCCACGAGUAGUUGCUCUACUCAACAG